rnacentral:rRNA from 1 species
GACGAACGCUGGCGGCGUGCUUAACACAUGCAAGUCGAACGGAAAGGCCCUGCUUUUGUGGGGUGCUCGAGGGGCGAACGGGUGAGUAACCCGUGAGUAACCUGCCCUUGACUUUGGGAUAACUUCAGGAAACUGGGGCUAAUACCGGAUAGGAGCUGCUGCUGCAUGGUGGGGGUUGGAAAGUUUCGGCGGUUGGGGAUGGACUCGCGGGUUAUCAGCUUGUUGGUGGGGUAGUGGCUUACCAAGGGUGUGACGGGUAGCCGGCCUGAGAGGGUGACCGGGCACAUUGGGACUGAGAUACGGCGCAGACUCCUACGUUAGGCAGCAGUGGGGAAUAUUGCACAAUGGGCGGAAGCCUGAUGCAGCAACGCCGCGUGCGGGAUGACGGCCUUCGGGUUGUAAACCGCUGUCGCCUGUGACGAAGCGUGAGUGACGGUAAUGGGUGAAGAAGCACCGGCUAACUACGUG